rnacentral:misc_RNA from 1 species
GCAAACUUGGUCAUUUAGAGGAAGUAAAAGUCGUAACAAGGUUUCCGUAGGUGAACCUGCGGAAGGAUCAUUAAUGUAAAGCGCGGACCGAGCGCCUCGGCCAGCGCCGCCAUCAAGGCGAGCGCGGCUGGAGCCUCGGCCCUGCCAGUCCCACACACACCCUUGUGAACCGGUGGGGGAAACCCUGCUAAUUACAAACACUUUAUGAAACAACUUUUAGUCCGGGUUGACGCCCGCCUAAUACUUAAAACAACUUUCAACAACGGAUCUCUUGGCUCUCGCAUCGAUGAAGAACGCAGC